AAUAAGUACUUUACUGGUACAUUGUUUUGCAGAUGUUGGUAGUUUUACAAAAACCAUGGACAACAAGAUUCCGCCACAUUUAAACCCUAAGGAGCUACAUUUGGACCCUGAAGUCGCGGCCUGGUUUUCAAAAUGGUAUGGAAAGCCCUUUGUUAGUUUAAUAAUGAAAAUUGUCUGUUGUGGGAUAUACGCCGCAUGUCUUGUAUUUGUAUACCGUAAAACCAAAAGAAGAAUAGACACUUCAAUAAGCAAAACUCUGAUAGGAAGGGAAAGAGAAAAGGAUGCUAUAAAGAAAUAUGAAGAAACAGGAAAGAAAUAUGAUAUUCAAAUAAAUAUAAAACGUUGGUUUUAAUAGACAAAGUACGUGUGGUGGGUUCUCAUACCAAUCGUUGUGUUCAAGUGUGUGAAGGCGUUUAUAGAGGUGGAGCUGUACUUAUUGAACAUGGCGUCAGAGUCAUGGGAUGAAGGUAUUAUCAUGGGACAAAAGUACUUCGAGAGAAAGGCUCUUGCUGAAAAAAUGGAAAAGGAAGCUCAAAUGGAUGAGGAAAAUAAGAAAAAUGAGGAGGAGGACAGGAAAGUCGAAUAACAAGAAAU